rnacentral:sRNA from 1 species
GUUAAUAUCAAACAAAAAAAAAAUAAAUGCAAAAAAUAAAAUGUUUUUUUUUAAACUCUUCACUUUGCAUCUCAUCUUGUUAUGUACGAGGGUUUAAGCUGACU